UACGUAGGGUGCAAGCGUUGUCCGGAAUUAUUGGGCGUAAAGAGCUCGUAGGCGGUCUGUCGCGUCGGCUGUGAAAACCCGGAGCUCAACUCCGGGCCUGCAGUCGAUACGGGCAGACUGGAGUUCGGCAGGGGAGACUGGAAUUCCUGGUGUAGCGGUGAAAUGCGCAGAUAUCAGGAGGAACACCGGUGGCGAAGGCGGGUCUCUGGGCCGAUACUGACGCUGAGGAGCGAAAGCGUGGGGAGCGAACGGG
rnacentral:rRNA from 1 species